rnacentral:pre_miRNA from 1 species
GAUUUUAACUGAAAAAGUCAUCAAUAACAAAGUGGUAUAACUCAUCAAGAUCUAUAACUUUUAUUUCAGUCAUUUCUUCAUCCGAGAAAGUGAUUUGUAACAUUGUUCACAAAAUGUACAUAUCUCUUAUAUAGUUUAUAAACUAUAACAGAGAUAUGUAAUUUUGUGAAGAAUGUUAGUAUCACUUUAUCGGAUAAAGAAAUGACCAAAAUAAAAUUUAUAGAUACUGAUGAGUUAUACAACUUUGUUAUUGAUGACUUUUCAGUUGAAAUC